rnacentral:tRNA from 1 species
GAGGGUGUAGCUCAGUGGUAGAGUGUGUGCUUAGCAUGCAUGAGGUCCUGCAUUUGAUCCCCAGUACUCCCG